rnacentral:lncRNA from 1 species
AUUCUCUUCUUGGAGCUUUUGGAGUACACUUCCACUAAAGUUAUAGCAUGCUUGAAUGGUUUAUUUCACCAAUAUUUGCUUAUGGAAAUAAAGGGGAGUGGCCGAGGAGAAAGGAGAAGAGGAGUGGAGGAGGGGUUUGAGGCUGAGGGAGGCUCUGACCACAGCACAGAGCACCGGCAACUUUGUCUAAUGUGAUCAUUAACCUUCCUGCAAAACACAGCUGGCAGUUCUCUGAGGUUUGUCACUAGAAUGUGAAGACAGCCACACAGAUAUUGCACAGACUAUUUACAGAUCGUUUGGUUUACAUUGAGAGUCAUUGCUCUACUUUUGUGCGGUAGGAAAAUGAGAUUUCAGCAAUUCCUUUUUGCAUUUUUUAUUUUUAUUAUGAGUCUUCUCCUUAUCAGCGGACAGAGACCAGUUAAUUUGACCAUGAGAAGAAAACUGCGCAAACACAAUUGCCUUCAGAGGAGAUGUAUGCCUCUCCAUUCACGAGUACCCUUUCCCUGAGAUCUCUCUAGCUAACUUUACUGGAUCUAUCAGAAGAAGAAGAGGAGUGAAGGAAAGACACCCAGCCACACAAAAGAACUUCAUGAUGCCAACAGCGUGAUUGCUUAGAAGUUCCUACACAAAAAAAGGAUCAUUUGAAAGCACCUGGAAUGAGUCUCACUCUGUUGCCCAAGGUGGAGAGAAGUGGCACGCUUUUGUCUCACUGCAACCUCCACCUCCCGAGUUCAAGUGAUUCUCGUGCCUCAACCUCCCAAUUAUAGGCUGGGAUUACAGGUGUGCACCACUACACCCAGCUAAUUCUUGUAUUUUUUGUAGAGAUGAGGUUUUACCCUGUUGCCCAGGCUGGUCUUGAACUCAGGCUGGAACCAUUCAUUUUUUAACCUUUCUCAUCAUGUAAUUAUAGGAACCCAACGUUUGAUUUCCUUUGAAGUUUUGUUAUGUCCUUUAUUAUUUUGUAUGGAUAAUUUCUUUAAAAGUCUUACUUAAAGUUGACAUCUAAAAUACAGUUAUGCCAAUGAAGUCCCACUCAGGGUGAUAUCUGUAUCUAAAAGAUGAGUGCUCAUCAUCCUAUUAGGCUUUGUCUUGGUGGUGUUCAUCCUGAGAUGCUGAGACAUGGAAAUAAAAAAUCAGAAGGAAUUUAGGGAUAUGAUUACUCAAAAAAGAAACUAUCCUGUCUAAAUUUGAAUUGUGUUGAUAACUAGGUGUUCCCCAGAUGCUAAGAUGUUCUUAAUUUGUAUUUAUUGAAGGAUUGUUAGCUUAGUGCCACAAAAUUUUUCUUACUUUAUGUUAAUUCCAGAUAAGAAAUUUACAAGUUUAUAUCUUUUUUUUUCUUUUUUUUAAGAUGAGAUCUGGCUCUAUCACCCAGGCUAAAGUGCAGUGGCAUGAUCUAGGCUAACUCCCUGGCUCAAGCGAUCCUUCCACCUCAGCCUCCCAAGUACCUGGGACUACAGGCACUCACGGCCACACCUGACUAAUUUUUGUAUUUUUUUGUAGAGAUGGAGUAUCGCCAUGUUGCCCAGCUUCCUUUGAGGAAUGAAAAUCAUUGUUUGCUGUACAUUUGAUCAGAAGAAAAAAGAAAAACUGAAAUUAGUGAAGUCAGUGAAGUCUUCGGUCCCGUCCUGAAUCAUUUUUACCCUCUGUUUAGGGACAGGUCUAGAACGAGUGAGCACAAAACUGAAGAGUGUGCCGAAAAUCUCAGCAAUCAAGAUAACAUUUGAACUCCAUUUUUGAAAAAAAUAAAAACUAACACCCACGAAAAAUACAUGAUGAAUAAAACAUCAAAAUUUUAGAUAAACACAGGAUAUCAGGAGUGAGUGUGGUGGCUCACUCACCCAAAGUGUAAUCCCAGCACUUUGGGAAUCUAAGACAGGAGGAUUGCUUGAAGCAAAGAGUUACAGACCAGCCUCUGCAACAUAGCAAGUCUUCGUCUCUAAAACAAAAUAAUUAGCCAGGCAUGGUGGCGCAUGCCUGUAGUCUAAGCUACCAGGGAGGUUGAAGUGGGAGAAUCACUUGAGCCUAGGAGUUGAAGGCUACAGUCAGUUAUGAUCACCACUGCAUUCUAGCCUGGGCAACAGGAAGACCCUGUUGAAAGGAAGAGAGAGGACCAGGUGCAGUGGCUCACACCUGUAAUCCCAGCACUUUGGGAGGCCGAGGCAGGUAGAUCACUUGAGAUCAGGCAUUCGAGACCAGUCUGGCCAACAUGGUGAAACUCCGUUUCUACUGAAAACACAAAAAUUAGCCAGGCGUGAUGGUGCGUGCCUGCAGUCCCAGCUACUCAGGAGGCUGAGGCAGGAGAAUCUCUUGAACCCAGGAGGAUGAGGUUGCAGUGAGCCAAGAUUGCACUACUGCACUCUGGCCUGGGCAACAAAGCAAGACUCUGUCAAGAAAGAGAAAGAAAGAAAGAAAGAGAG